UGGGGAAUAUUGGGCAAUGGGCGAAAGCCUGACCCAGCCAUGCCGCGUGAGUGAUGAAGGCCCUAGGGUUGUAAAGCUCUUUCGCAGGUGAAGAUAAUGACGGUAACCUGAUAAGAAGCCCCGGCUAACUUCGUGCCAGCAGCCGCGGUAAUACGAAGGGGGCUAGCGUUGUUCGGAAUUACUGGGCGUAAAGCGCGUGUAGGCGGAUAACUAAGCUAGAGGUGAAAGCCCAAGGCUCAACCUUGGAAUUGCCUUUAGAACUGGUUAUCUGGAGUUUUGGAGGGGAGUGCGGAAUUCCUAAUGUAGAGGUGAAAUUCGUAGAUAUUAGGAGGAACACCGGUGGCGAAGGCGGCACUCUGGACAAAUACUGACGCUGAGACGCGAAAGCGUGGGGAGCAAA
rnacentral:rRNA from 1 species